GCUCCGCGCCCCGAUGUUCGGGGGGGCGGCUGCUCUCGGCUCUGCUGCGGAGCAUCGCCUGGCACUAAAUAAAAGCCGCCACCUGUCAGGAGCAACCUCCCUCCCUGGCUGCUGCUCGGACCCUGCACAGCUCUGCCCCGUUUCUCAAGGCGUGUCCAGGGAGGUUGGGUGUCCCUGCAGCAGCCCUGGAUGCCUGCGCCUUCCCUGUGCCCGGGAGAAUCCUGGAAAUGGAGAGUUCUCCGGGCGAAUCCUGGAAACGGAGAGUUCUCCGGGCGAAUCCUGGAAAUGGAGAGUUCUCCGGGCGCUGCUGCCGCUGAGCUCCGCGGAGACCCCCGGCUCCUGGUUUGAGAGAACCGCGGAGCGCUGCGGAAAGCCACGCUCCGGAGAGGGAGCAGCUCAAACAGCGCUAUCCCCGUCCCUGACCCCUCAGAGAAGAGCGGACCAGCCGAGCUGCCCGGGUGCCAGGGCGUUUAUUGCUCCAAAGCAUCGCUGGCCGGCAGCAGCCGGGGCGGGGGCCGCGUCCAUCACCUGCCGGGCACCCGGCGGGGGCGAAGGGCAGUGCCCGCCCCUGCCCUGCUCUGCCUUCCAUUCCCUUCCCUUCCCUUCCUUCCCUCUCCCUGCCCUGCCCGAGCGCUCCCCGCGGAGCCCAGACCCUGCUCCGCUCCCCGGCAGCGGCUGCGAGCGCAGAGCGAGGAGCAAGUGGAUGCACCGGGAAGUUUGCCUCAAACUUUGUCGUGUUCUGCCUCUUCUCCGCUCUCUCGGUUUGCUUUUUAGGAAGCCAAGUGCUUAUUGUGGUCGCCUUGUUUAGGUAAUUUCUUACACAUCCCUCAUCCUCCUCCACGCUGCUCUUUAUAAAUGUUAUUCAUAUAUACACAAUAAAUAAUGAGAAUGUGAAUUCACCUUCGUGAUUUUGGCCACCAAAACGAAGGUGUUCAGGCGAUGGCAAUUCCAAAGAAUGAAAAAAUCCUGUUCGCUUCUCAGUGUGACAUUUCUGAGCUGAGAGAAAAUCUGGCUUCUUACUUUAUAAUAAAAAUAACCAAAGUUGCUGCAAUUCUCAUUUGGAAGGAAGAAGAGCUGAUCCCAAACGCGGGAAGCUCGACGAUUCCCUUCCUCGUUUCUUUUCUAAAUCCAUCUUGUCUCUUUAAUACAAAUGAACUUUAAGCUCCCCCUGCAUUUUAUUAUUUAGAUUCGUAGUCUUAAUGACGCCAGGAGCAGCGCAAGCACACUCGCUAAUAAUCGUCGCGAACUGCAUUUCAAAGAAACAUCCCUGGAAGAAAAACACCGUCGUUAAAAAAAAAAAUAAA